rnacentral:rRNA from 1 species
CAGUCCACGGUAAUACGUAGGUGGCAAGCGUUGUCCGGAAUUAUUGGGCGUAAAGGGCUCGCAGGCGGUUUCUUAAGUCUGAUGUGAAAGCCCCCGGCUCAACCGGGGAGGGUCAUUGGAAACUGGGAAACUUGAGUGCAGAAGAGGAGAGUGGAAUUCCACGUGUAGCGGUGAAAUGCGUAGAGAUGUGGAGGAACACCAGUGGCGAAGGCGACUCUCUGGUCUGUAACUGACGCUGAGGAGCGAAAGCGUGGGGAGCGAACAGGAUUAGAUACCCCCGUAGUCCCUGUCUCUUAUACAC